GACGAACGCUGGCGGCAUGCCUAAUACAUGCAAGUCGAGCGAACAGAUGAAGUGCUUGCACUUCUGACGUUAGCGGCGAACGGGUGAGUAACACGUAAGGAAUCUACCUAUAAGCGGGGGAUAACAUUCGGAAACGGGUGCUAAUACCGCAUAAUAUCUUCUUCCGCAUGGAAGAAGAUUGAAAGACGGCUCUGCUGUCACUUAUAGAUGACCUUGUGGUGCAUUAGUUAGUUGGGGGGGUAACGGCCUACCAAGACGAUGAUGCAUGGCCGACCUGAGAGGGUGAUCGGCAACAUUGGGACUGAGACACGGCCCAAACUCCUACGGGAGGCAGCAGUAGGGAAUCUUCCGCAAUGGGCGAAAGCCUGACGGAGCAAUGCCGUGUGAGUGAAGAAGGCCUUCGGGUCGUAAAACUCUGUUAUAAGAGAAGAACAAAUUGUAGAGUAACUGCUACAGUCUUGACGGUAUCUUAUCAGAAAGCCACGGCUAACUACGUGCCAGCCGCCGCAGUAA
rnacentral:rRNA from 1 species